rnacentral:rRNA from 1 species
AGGUUAAGGAAACCCGGAGCCGUAGCGAAAGCGAGUCUUAAUAGGGCGUAUAGUCAGAUGCUGCAGACCCGAAACGAUGUGAUCUAUCCAUGAGCAGGUUGAAACUGGUGUAAGAGCCAGCGGAGGACCGAACAGACGGCCGUUGAAAAGGCUCCUGAUGACUUGUGGAUAGGGGUGAAAGGCCAAUCAAACAUCGUGAUAGCUGGUUCUCUCCGAAAUAUAUUUAGGUAUAGCGUUGUGUCGUAAUUAUAAGGGGUAGAGCACUGAAUGGGCUAGGGCAUAUACCAAUGUACCAAACCCUAUCAAACUCCGAAUACUUAUAAUGUAAUCACAGCAGUCAGGCGGCGAGUGAUAAAAUCCGUCGUCAAGAGGGGAACAACCCAGACUAACAGCUAAGGUCCCUAAAUCUCAUUU